rnacentral:rRNA from 1 species
UACGAAGGGGGCUAGCGUUGUUCGGAAUUACUGGGCGUAAAGCGCGCGCAGGCGGCCUUUCAAGUCGGUGGUGAAAUCCCAAAGCUCAACUUUGGAAUUGCCAUCGAAACUGUAAGGCUUGGGUACGGGAGAGGUGAGUGGAAUUCCGAGUGUAGAGGUGAAAUUCGUAGAUAUUCGCAAGAACACCAGUGGCGAAGGCGGCUCACUGGCCCGGUACUGACGCUGAGGUGCGAAAGCGUGGGGAGCAAACAGGG